rnacentral:rRNA from 1 species
GAUGAACGCUGGCGGCGUGCCUAAUACAUGCAAGUCGAGCGAACAGAUGAGAAGCUUGCUUCUCUGAUGUUAGCGGCGGACGGGUGAGUAACACGUGGGUAACCUACCUAUAAGACUGGGAUAACUCCGGGAAACCGGGGCUAAUACCGGAUAAUAUUUUGAACCGAAGGGUUCAAUAGUGAAAGACGGUUUCGGCUGUCACUUAUAGAUGGACCCGCGCCGUAUUAGCUAGUUGGUAAGGUAACGGCUUACCAAGGCGACGAUACGUAGCCGACCUGAGAGGGUGAUCGGCCACACUGGAACUGAGACACGGUCCAGACUCCUACGGGAGGCAGCAGUAGGGAAUCUUCCGCAAUUGGCGAAAGCCUGACGGAGCAACGCCGCGUGAGUGAUGAAGGUCUUCGGAUCGUAAAACUCUGUUGUUAGGGAAGAACAAAUUUGUUAGUAACUGAACAAGUCUUGACGGUACCUAACCAGAAAGCCACGGCUAACUACGUGCCAGCCGCCGCCGUAA